GACGAACGCUGGCGGCGUGCUUAACACAUGCCAGUCGAACGGAAAGGCCCUGCUUUUGUGGGGUGCUCGAGUGGCGAACGGGUGAGUAACACGUGAGUAACCUGCCCUUGACUUUGGGAUAACUUCAGGAAACUGGGGCUAUACCCGCUAAGAACCUCUGCCGCCAUGGGGGGGGUGGGAAAUUUCGGCGGUUGGGGAUGGACUCGCGGCUUAUCAGCUUGUUGGUGGGGUAGUGGCUUACCAAGGCUUUGACGGGUAGCCGGCCUGAGAGGGUGACCGGCCACAUUGGGACUGAGAUACGGCCCAGACUCCUACGGGAGGCAGCAGUGGGGAAUAUUGCACAAUGGGCGGAAGCCUGAUGCAGCAACGCCGCGUGCGGGAUGACGGCCUUCGGGUUGUAAACCGCUUUCGCCUGUGACGAAGCGUGAGUGACGGUAAUGGGUAAAGAAGCACCGGCUAACUACGUG
rnacentral:rRNA from 1 species